GGAGAAAUCGUCAUUGUGAAUGUUGUACUGUUUUGUUUGAUCAUUCUAUUUGUCGUUAUGAUCAUCUUAAGAAAGCGCAUAAAUUUACAAGUGUGUCAAUCAACCAACCAGAAAUUUCGAAGAAAUAACAUCAAAACAACUUCAAUGGUUGAAACAAAUGGAAAUAGUGAAAGGAAUAAUGGAGUACCUCAAAAUGAAUAUGAAACGGUUCGUGACAGCUAUACUGAGCCUUUGGAGCUGCAUCAUAACAUCGUUCAUAUGGGCGAAAUUUACAAGCAGGACAUCAUAAAUGCUCAAACGGAGGAAACAGAAGCUUGAAAUAUUUGUAUAUAUUAAAAAGAUGAAAGUAA